GGGCGAGGUGAGAGAGGGUAAAGAGAGGAGUGUGGCAAGGUGCAAACAGGAACAUGCAAAAGGAAGGGAAGCAAGGUCGUGGGAGGAGAACAAAGAGGGAGAUGUGGAUAGAGAAGGAAAGGCUCAGGCUUUGGCUUAGGGCUAUGAAGGUGGGUCUGUGGAACAAAACGAACAAAGUUAAGUAAAAUGUUGUGUGCUUGUGGAGAGAGAGAGAGGAGAUGAUGAAGGAAACGAGCAGGCCCAAUUCUCUUUCAUCUCCUUCGUUUCACAUUUUCGAUUCUGGUUUUUGCGUUUUUGUACUUUGUGUUAAUUUAGUUCUCUUUUUUUUAAUA
rnacentral:misc_RNA from 1 species